rnacentral:misc_RNA from 1 species
AAUAUUGCUUUUUUUUUUUUCGUUGUUGUUGCAUUAGAAUUGCACAAGUUAGGGAGUUAAGGUCGUAAUUGGGGUUGCUUUUGCAGCUGCUUUUGGUAAAAGCAUCCCUUAGUGCUUUUAGGCAGUAUGUGGUUUUGUAAUAGCGUUGUCUUUUUUCUGUUUCUUAUUUGUUUGGUGACAAAUAAUUUGAUGGCCCAUGUGGAUAUAUGUGCCUCUUGGACUGAAGGUUGAUUUGCUUUCUCCCUUUUUAAUUUACAAUCCUCGUCUAUCCAAAUGAACCUUCAGCUGAUUCUCCUUGGCUGGAUUUGGGAAGGAAACUUUUAUUCAUUUGAUUUAUUGCAACUUUGCGUCCUUGUUCAUUUGUUUCUGAGGACAUGGGUUUGUUGUUGUUUCUAGUUCUGCUACUGCUACUUAUGGAAUCCAAAAGUUCUCUAUUGCUCACUUCUUUUCUGCUGAAUUGUUU